UCCACGGGUGACAAAGUGAGGGCCUGUCUCAAAAAAAAAGGUGCCUGCAAAUCAAGUGUCUAGUAACCAAGUUGACGUAAUGGCAGAUAGUCCAGCUUCGCCAAAUGACACAGCCAGAGUUUCUUUGUUAAUACAACAGUCCUUCCUGAGGCUUGGUAGCCUCGGGCUGGGGACUAGAACAAGAAACAGAUGAGACACACAUAGAUGUGUGUGCUGCCCAUCUGGGGCUGGUAUCUGGGGACCUCCAUGUCAAAAUCCUCCAUUCCACCUCAGCCCACCCCACUAAACUGCAGAGCAACUCAAGGUGAUCCAAGUCUUUGCUGGAGGAUUUCCAAGCCCCACACUUGAUUCCAGGUAAUCCCAGCCCAGUUCAGUGUCCUCAGACUCUGUGGCACAUAGAGGUGCCCCGCCCCUCCCUGCCACGUCUGCUGGGUGAGGGCUGAGGACGCAGAGACUCCCAGGGAACUGAGAAGGCUCCUUACAGCAAGGUCAGCCCUUUCAGUUUGAAGAUGCGUGGGAAAAAUCUCUUGCCACCCACACACAUCUGAAGAGCAAACAGAUGGUGAAAAACCUGUAGCCCAAGAUGAGAAAACGGACUUUUUGAGACAGCAGUUGAAGCUGAAGCCUCAAAAUCUGGGGGGAAAGCAUAGUGAUUAUGAAAGACAUUCAAAGUGGGUUAGGGGUGAGAAAAAGGUCAGCCUUUUACUUUUCCCACACCCGCUGGUUUCUGAAGAAGGAUGGUAACCCGAGCAGAAGGGUGAUGGCCGACCUCUGGGCUUUGAUGUAUGUCCCCUCCUCCUCCGCCCCAUCCUACAAGCUCUGGGGAGGUCGGAGACUGGUGUGGUUUCCUCACGCCUUCCACCAUGCAGGCACUGAGGUUGGCUCCAAGUUGACAGCCCCAUCUGAAUCCUGGAAUGAAUUAAGUUUUUUUAAGCUAAAAAGUGAACAAAACUUGACAUGCAUGAGUCCUUACCGAAAGGAAGUCCUCGUUUUUAGGACAGGCUUGGCUUCUGGCCUGUGAGUCCAUAGAAUCAUCACAGAGAAGGUGAUUUCAGGAGGCCUCCCGCUUUCUGCUCCCAAGGCAGACUGGCUGAGCCUCGGAGGAGAGAAGGAAGCCAUUUCGGGGAGGCCAGAACAUCCAUCUUCCAGGUUCUUGAUGUAAGUCAGCCUGCUUUUACAGAUGAGGAACCAAGACCCAGGGAAGUUGGUAAGUCUGAACCAUUUACAGAACUUGUUACUGCUACUGCGUUACGCUGAGACAGCUGUAGGAGUGUUUUUCUCUAAACCAUUCUCAUUUUACUUGAAUAUGGAUUAUCUGAUGAGUUAUAAAAAACUUUUCCAUAAACCAGGAUUUGCUAUGGCAGCCUUUGACCUUCACACCUUUACUACGAAUGACUGUUAAUAUAAAAGGCUCUAUUAGUUACCAGUUGUCAGAAUAACACUGCAUUAUUCUGUGUUAUUUGAAGUUGGACAACCUCAAAACCAUGGCUUAAAUCACUGAGGAUUUAUUUUGCCCACAAAUAUGCAGGUUGACUGGGGGCUCUGGACCCUUGGUGGGCUCACUCCCUUGUCUGCCUGUGGUCAGCUAUGCCUCGAGGCUGUGCUUGCUAUGCCCAUUGGCUAAUCGUGGCUAGGCUGACUCCUGUGUCUGUUGUCAGUUGGUCAAAUGAAGGCUGGCUAGUCUAGGAUGGUCUUGGUCAGACAACUUGGCUGUACUCCACGUGGACUCCCUGGCCCCAAAAGGAUAGCCUGGGCUUCUUCAGAUGGCCGCUGAGCAGGUUUCCAAGAGAGUGAGCACAAGUGCCGGAGCUUCACAGAGCCCAGCCUCAGAACUGGAGCAUCAUUUAACAGUGUUCUGUUGGUCGAAGCAAGUCACAGGCCAGCCCAGAUUCUAGGUGUGGGAAAAGGAACUCGUUCCUCUGGGUGGGAGGACUGCAAGAUCACUUUAUAAAGGGUUCAGAGACAGUGAGGGGUAGAAAAUUAGGACCAUUUUUGUAAUCAUUCUACCAAAGAGUCAGAUAAUCUUCCCUUCCUGCACAUAUUUCGACCUCAAUUUUCAUCUUCAGAAAAAUACCCACCUUCUCCAGAUACACUCAUACAAGUACACAAAAGUACACACAAUAUUCUUCUUGGCCAUGAUGUCUGUGGUGGCAAAAUCAGGAAAGAAUUUGUUCAAAGUGAGUUGGGUUGAGGUAGUAUAUGACGGCACCCUGGGAGAUUAUGUGGUGAACACUAGUCACACCCAUGCGGCAUUUCCUGACGAAGACACUGGACACAGCAAAUGGAGCUGGUGGCAGGAAUAAGAUGCUUUUACUUUUCUCUUUAUACCUUUCUAUGUUGUAUGAUGUAUUUUUAUUAGGUGUCAGUUUAACUUUUAAAAUAUGAAAACUAAUUUCUAAAAUACAUUCACAUCAUCUUAAAGUCAUCUCAAGUUCCCAGUAAACCACCAAAUGCCCAGCUCCUUUAUGCUGGGGUCAUUACACAGUUGUUCAUGUCUUUCUGCAUUCACCAAAGGGGUGACCUCUUCACCAGCCAAGCUGGACGGCAUACAGCCAUGAGAGCGGAGGGCCUGGGAGGAAGCCACAAUAUGGCCAGGGUUCCUCUUCCCCUGCCGGGGGGCGAGCCCAGCUAGGGCCCCUGUCCUCCUGACUCAGGGCCUCUGGGAGAAGAGCUAUAUCCAGAUAUAUGGUACAAAUUGACCACUGGAACGACAGUGCUUGAACCCCAACUGGGGAGAAAGUACAACAGCCUCCAAGAGGUUGAGUUCUCGAAUCAGAAAGACAUGGAUCCGACUCCUGGUGCCACUACCCACUUCCUCUGGCUUUGGACAAGUCACUUAGCUCUUCUGUGCCUCAAAAAUGUGAUAGCUGCUACCAUUGAGAAACACGUCCACACCUUGUCCAAUCCGUUCUGCUCUCUUGGCUCUUUUGAUUCCUUCUGGGCAUUAGCGAGUCAUGUUGGAGGACUGAGUGAUUGGGGUCAUUGAAAGUUGAGUUAAUUUACAGAGUAGCUGCCUUUGGUGAUUUUAAAACGUGGCCCCAGAGUUAUUUGACACCCUUCCCAUAAGAGGUGGAGUCUACAGCCCUUUCCUUGACUCAGGGCUGGCCUCUGGCUGCUCUGACCAGUGGAAUAGCAGAGGGCCACUCUGCGGCUUCUGGUGCCAUGUCAGAAAAGGACCUGCAACUCCCCCCUGGUUUUCUUGCUUGGGGGAAGCCAGCUGCCAUGUAGAGGGUCUGAGCACCGUGAGCCCUCCCUGCUGACACUGCCGUGUGUUGGGGCACUGCUCAGCAGCCAGCAUUAACUACUGGCCCUGGGGCAUGGCUCUCCAAGUCAAGCCUUCCAGUGGCCACAGCCCCAGCCAAUAUCUGACUGCAGCCACACGGGAGACCCCAAGCUAGAUGCAUCCUUCUGAGUCCCUUCCAAAUUCCUGACCCACAAAAUAAUGAGUACAAUAAAAUGGUUAUUGUUUUUAUACCACUAAAUUUUGUGGCAGCAGUUACAAGGACACAUCUGAAUUGAAUUCAAGCAAGGUUCUUAGAAUCACUUCUUUCAUUUAAUUGCAAAUUAGCCGAAAAGAAAGCAUCUAAAAAAUUUUUUUUGUUUUAUUGAAUUACUCCUGAUACUCUGUCGUAGCAAACCUGGUACAAGUUUCACCUACACGUCCUUUCCACAUCCUCACUUCCCAUUCAUUUGCUCCUCAGCCAAUCACAGUCUGCCUUGAUGAUGCCUGGGAAGCUGCUCCUAGCCCGGUCGCUGUGCCUCCACUCUCUCUUGACCUCAGCUCUUCCCAUGCUCAUGGCUACCAUCUUCCGGAUAGCGUCCCCAGACUUGCUCUCUGCUGAUCCUCCCCUCCCAGAAGCAACACCACCAACCAUCCAAACAUGCAGAUUCAAACUCCAAGUCAUCCUUGAUUCCUUCCUUUCUCUCAGUUCUAACCUUCACCAUUGCUUCUAUCCCCAGAGUAAGUCAAAAGCCAUUCAUCUCUCUACACCACAGCCACCACCUUCACUCUGACUCCACCACCGUCAUCUUUUUCCGUAACCACAACAGCUCCUGACUGGCCUCCCUGCUUCCUUGCACUGCCCCUAACCCCCAGCCACCGCCCUUCUUCACCUGGGGACUUUAGAGAUCGUUAAAACAUGACUUGGACCAUGGCACACCACUUAAAAAUCUUCCUGAAGCGGAAUAAAAAAGUUCUGCGCCUGAACAGCGCCCCUACCUUCCCCUCCCAUCUAACUUCCCUCUCACUCAUUAGCCUCCAAUCACCAGUGGCUCUUUUUUUAGCCACUUAACUCUGCUUAUCACUUUUCCACCUCAGAGACACCUGUGAGAACUGGUAGUGAUGGUCUCACCCCGUCUCAGGCAACAUCAGAUUUCCUGUGGUCCUUAGAGACUUCCUGGUUUCCAAAAGUUGAACAAGAAACCGCAGAGCUCACUGUGGCCUUUGUCAGCCUCUGCAGGGCAUUCUGAGCCAUCUCGAUGGUUACCGCACUGAGAAAGUGCCACCCAUGACCUGAGCCUCUCCAAGCUUGCUGCCCUGUCCCCAGUGGGCUCCCUCGGUUCCUUCGGUGAGUGGUGGCCUAACCACACAGAGGAAGAGUCCAUCUAGUCUCCAUUUCCAAUUUUAAUUUUUUAAAAUUGUCAUUUGGAGCUUUAUAAAAGGAUAAGAGCAUGAGUUUUUAGGGGAAUUGCAUGAUGUCUUGGAUUUACUUUAAAAUACUACAGGAAACUUUUUAAAGGAAGGA